rnacentral:lncRNA from 1 species
AAGUGGACAGCAGAGAAAAGGGAGGACGAUAUUCCAGGCACAGAGAGCAGAGUAGAGAAUGCCAUAACAUCACAGAAGGACAUGAGGUCAGGAAUUACACAGAUAUUGUUUGCUCUGCAGACCUGAGCUGCCUCUUAAGGGUGCUGAUUACACAGCCUUCUUCAUCUCAGCCUAUGUCCAGAUGGAUCACAGAAUCCUCACCACAAGGGAGCUGGCCAGCCUGACCUGGAAGGACCAUCCAGAAACUCAACCAAGGCACCACAGACUGCUGGGGAAAGGUUCUUGCUGUUUUAAAUAACAUGUCCAGGCCGGGCACAAUGGCUCACGCCAGUAAUCCCAGCACUUUGGGAGGCCGAGGAAGGCGGAUCA